GCUACUGCUAUCGGGGUUCGAUUAAGCCAUGCGAGUUAAAUGUUCUUCGUGAACAUAGCGAACUGCUCAGUAACACGUGGAUAACCUACCCUUAGGACCGGAAUAACCCCGGGAAACUGGGGAUAAUACCGGAUAAGCCAUAGACGCUGGAAUGCCCUAUGGUUCAAAGCUCCGGCGCCUAAGGAUGGAUCUGCGGUCUAUCAGGUUGUAGUGGGUGUAACGUACCUACUAGCCGACGACGGAUACGGGUUGUGAGAGCAAGAGCCCGGAGAUGGAUUCUGAGACACGAAUCCAGGCCCUACGGGGUGCAGCAGGCGCGAACACUUUACAAUGCGGGAAACCGCGAUAAGGGAACCCCGAGUGCCAGCAUCAAAUGUUGGCUGUCCAGAUGAUUAAAAAUCAUUUGUUAGCAAGGGCCGGGCAAGACCGGUGCCAGCCGCCGCGGUAACACCGGCGGCCCGAGUGGUAGCCGUUUUUAUUGGGUCUAAAGGGUCCGUAGCCGGCUUGAUAAGUCCUUUGGGAAAUCUGGCAGCUUAACUGUCAGGCUUCUAAGGGAUACUGUCAGGCUUGGGACCGGAAGAGGUAAGGGGUACUCCAGGGGUAGGAGUGAAAUCUUGUAAUCCCUGGGGGACCAUCUGUGGCGAAGGCGCCUUACCAGAACGGGUCCGACGGUGAGGGACGAAAGCUAGGGGAGCAAACCGGAUUAGAUACCCGGGUAGUCCUAGCUGUAAACGAUGCUCGCUAGGUGUCAGACACGGUGCGACCGUGUUUGGUGCCGCAGGGAAGCCGUUAAGCGAGCCACCUGGGAAGUACGGUCGCAAGGCUGAAACUUAAAGGAAUUGGCGGGGGAGCACUACAACGGGUGGAGCCUGCGGUUUAAUUGGAGUCAACGCCGGA
rnacentral:rRNA from 1 species